UACGGAGGAUUCAAGCGUUAUCCGGAUUUAUUGGGUUUAAAGGGUGCGUAGGCGGUAUUUUAAGUUAGUGGUAAAACGUCGGGGCUUCACCUUGAUUGGCCAUUAAAACUGGAGUACUAGAGUACAGACGAGGUAGGCGGAAUAAGUUAAGUAGCGGUGAAAUGCAUAGAUAUAACUUAGAACACCGAUAGCGAAGGCAGCUUACCAGACUGUUACUGACGCUGAGGCUCGAAAGCGUGGGGAGCAAACAGG
rnacentral:rRNA from 1 species